rnacentral:hammerhead_ribozyme from 1 species
GCACUACUGAAGAGUUCCAUAACAGGAUGAAACCACCGUCCAGUGC